UGAAAAGCAAGUAGAGGACGGCAGCGAUGGUCAGCCUGGUCUUCACCUUCCUCUGCUUCAGCAACUCGCGUCGCUUGCUGCAGUUGUCACAGGGGUCCAUUUUCAAACUCAGCUGACUGUUGGUUAAAGGUGCCGCGGGAAGGUCCCCCCGGAGCUGGGUGUCACUGCUCUGAAUUCCCUCCACUGGAGAUGGGUCUCGGGAAUCUCAGGAAUGUCCUUUAGUGCUUUCUUACCAAGUGGGAAUCCUGGUAGCUUUUCUUCUACCCAAUCGGCAAAAAAUUGCCGAUUAUCUUGGUCAAAAGGCUAGGACAAGACUAGGAUGGAGUGUCAUCGGAGUCUCUUAAAUGCAGCUCUCUUGCACUGUGAGGAGACAGCUACCACAUCAUGCUAAACUUAUCCAGCACCGUGGGAAGGUCUGUGAGAAGGAGCUUAGCCCACCAACUGCCAUGACAGGGAAGACUGAGGCAGGAGGAUUGCCAUAAGUUUGAGGACAUCCUACCUGAACUAUGAGUUGGGACCCUGUCUCAAAAAGAUCUUCAUUGUGUGCACAGAAACACAGCCAGAGGCUGGCUGGCUUCCUUUGGAACCUCUGCUCUUUAGCCACCAGCUGUCUGUCUUCUGAUGGGAAUCCUGCCUCUAGUGACCUCCUUACCUCAGGUCUUGAGAAAUUGAAGACCACAAACAAGAACAAGCUACUGGCACAUUCACCAUUUGGUAAGGAUCCUCUUUUUGCAGCUGAAUCAACAAAGAAACGAGGAUCAACAGUUCCCAGUUCUGGAGGCUGAUGGUCUCUGAUUAAUCGCAUAGCCCAUUUAGUCCAGCUUCUGUGGCUCAUGGUGUCAAAACAGGUCACAUCAAGGCAGAAGCCAGAGGGAUUCAGCUAUGAGGCCUGCUGUUUUGCUUUGUUUUGUUUUACUUUCUUUAAUAUAAUAAACAAAACUGGCUCUCUCAAGGAUGGAAUGAUAAAUACAGUAAUCUGAUUAUCUUGCAGUAGAUAAUUUGUCUACCUGUUAAUGAUUCUGCUUCUUGGACUACGUCCCAGUAGAUGCCAUGCUUUCAGCCUGGUGAAUGUCAAAAUGGCUGAACACUGUUGAAAAGAUGCCUCAUCACUGAGUCAUCUUUGCAAGUACCUUGUGGAAGAGCAAGUGACCACAAAUGUGAACGUGGAGACACUGGCUGUGAAGAUACACAUUUAUUUCUCUGCCUACAAGAAAGAAUAGAAAUAAAGAAACCAAAGUGAACGUGGGCUUUCUGAAGAAUAAUUUUCUUUCAUGCAGUCUGCAGAUACUGAAGUCUGCUGUCUCCUCCCCCGCCACCUCCCCCUUGCCAGUAACUGCAGCUGCUGAGAUACAGUUGAGUUUGUGGUACAACCAGUUUCCUCACCUUUACACACUGAACUGUCAGUCUUUUCUCCUCCGGAGUGUACUUGUCUUGGGCAACUGUCAAUUAACAUCCCUCCCUGGCUCCCUUACUGCUCCAGGCUCUUCCUUCAUUGCUCUGUGCAGGCCUCACAGAGCCCAACCCCAGCCAAGUUAGACUUCAGUCAGAGAAUCAGAAACAAAACCAGUGUCUGCCAGGAGACACUCUCUCUGCCUGGGAAUUCCUCCCCAUUGGGAGAAGUCUAUGUCAUCUCCCUCCACCUACGGUGGGAAAGUGUUGAGUUUGUUAGGCUGAGUGAGGGAUUAUGGCCAGGAACAUUGGUCACCUUAGAGCAUCCACACUGGAGGGUAUGUUCUCAGCAGAGGUGAUGACUGCCUGAUAGCUGUGUAUUAUGGAGUUCUCUCCCUUGACCCUCCCCAUCUAUAUGCUCUGUCCCAACCCCACAGAUUCAUGUGUUUGAACACCUGGUCCCCAGCUGGUAGCACUGUUUUGGGAAAUUACUUAAUCUGUGGGAGGUGAGGCAUGCCUGAUAGGGUACAUUGUUAGAGGUGGGUCUUUGAGGGUUAGGAUCUGGCCUUACUUUCUCUUCUGUUUUCUGCUUUCUUCUACAUCAUCACAGACUUCUAAUGCUUCAGAGCCAUCCUGCCAUGUCUGCCCCACCCUGAUGGACUAAAAUUUCUGAAACCAGGAGUCAAAUUAAACUUUUUUUCCCCUCUUCU
rnacentral:lncRNA from 1 species